rnacentral:rRNA from 1 species
AACGAACGCUGGCGGCGUGCCUAACACAUGCAAGUCGUGCGAGAAAGUUCCUUCGGGAGCGAGUAAAGCGGCGCACGGGUGAGUAACACGUAGGUAACCUGCCCCCCAGUCUGGAACAACUAGAGGAAACUCUAGCUAAUGCCGGAUGAGACCACGAUCCCUUCGGGGGUUGCGGCCAAAGAUGGCCUCUACUUGUAAGCUAUCGCUGAGGGAUGGGCCUGCGGGCCAUUAGCUUGUGGUGAGGUAACGGCUCACCAAGGCUGUGAUGGCUAGCUGGUCUGAGAGGAUGACCAGCCACACUGGGACUGAGACACGG